GGUUUGGCCCACGUCCUCUGCCCGGUCGCGGCCAGGCUCGCCUCGCCCCGUGUGGUCCCGUCCGCCGCCCUGCUCUGCACCCUCGGCCCCUGCAACCCGCACGAAAGCCCAGACUCCAGAGCAGUCUUCCGGAGGAGUAGACGUGUUGCCUUUGAUUUUGGAACUACCUUUAGACUGAUGAGAGAGGCAUGUGAACAAGAGGUCACUCAGCAUUUGAAAGAGCAAAGAGUAACUCCACUCUUCAGUGGUUAAAGGAAGGAGAAUGGCUAGAGUGCUAAAGAAAGCUUAGUUGAGAGAUGGAAAAACCGGCAAAGCUGAAGUGAGAAGACAAACUCACCUGCUGGGGGAGAAAAACAUAAGGGCAAAUUUUUUGAAGGAAUCUAUGAGCUUGUGAACACUCAGAGGCAAGAAUACCCUGGAUGCUGCAUGGAGCGUUGAAGUGGCAGCUGGAAAUUUAGUUGAAAUUCCUCUGGAAAUGAUCUUUAAUGCUUAGCCCAAGAUUCCAAUGGUGAAUAAAUGGGAAUUGCUUACAAUGGAAGAAAGAGGAAUCCUGUGUUGGCCUUUCGAGGUACAAUGUCUGAAAUGCUUAGCUCUCGCCUGUGUAAGAAGUAGUGGAAUCCUAAGUGAGUUACUGGUCAGCAAGGUCCCUAGGGCCCAUAAAGUAAUACAGAAGAUAGUUGUUUUCUGUUGUUUGCUGAAGAAACCACACCUGGUUUGAUUGAAAAACAUAAAGAAACCAAGCCGUCCUAUACCAGAAGGUGCUGUACAGGUGCUGAGGGAGAAGUGUCAUGAACAGUCUUAGUUGUGGAGCCUGCGUGCUACAUCGCUAACUGCCCAGGCAAGAUGAGCUCACUGCUGCAGUAAUGGCAAAUCUGUUAUGGGGAUAACCAACCCCUUCUGGUCUUUUGUUUGUUUGUUUGUUUGUUUGUUUUAAAUCUGGGGCUUACUUCCCAGGAAGAAAUCUUUAUCUGCUAUCAUAGACUUGGUCAAAAACCUGUGGCUAGAAGAUCAUGGACCCUAGUGGAAAAGCUACUGUUGUCAUUUUGCUAACUGGAUACGAUGUGUCAUAUCUGUCAAGUUGCUUUCUGAAUAUUUUUUAUGUCCAUAGAUUGAUGCUAUUAUCAGCUUUGGUCAAAAAGACUUGUUUGGUUCAGCAGGCAGCAGUUACUGCAGAGACUCAUGACUGUUCAAAGCACUGAGAAUAACCAUUGGAAGCUGAACUCUAAACGGAACAUCUGUAUCAUUCCCCCAAAGGGCUCAGGGAACAUUGUGAAGUAAAUCCAGAAAGAAUAUAAGAGAGGAGGAAGGAGUAACUUAUUAUAGAAUGUGGCAUGGUCUUAUAUCCUUGAGUUGUCAGUUACUAUGGUUAUCAGCACAAGGCCUGCUCAAGGUUGGAGCCAUCAGCACUCUGUCACAAAGCAGGAAGGAGCUCAGCAGGCCUUAACCCUCCCCGAGGUUAGGAAUUCAAUUCUGGUUGCUAGGGGAUGGAGAGACCUUUCCUCCAGUGAUACAGUCAAUGAUACAAGGCUGUUCCAGAAAAGAACCACUUAUCCAUGCUCCUGCGAACAAGUCUAACUGAACUUCAGGGAUCAUAACAAAAAGAAAAGAAAAGAAAAAGACAUACAAUGAAAGAAAAGACAAAGAAGUGUAUGUCAGUGGGAGCAAUUAGCCAAGAAAGGAUUUUGGUUGCUAAAGAUGAUUUAAAAAAUGCAUUAUGUAUGUAUACAAAAAUGCCCUGCCCAUUAGUAUGUAUAAUUAACAUAGGAUUAAAAAUAUAAAGAGAAAGAACAUAAAGGACAGAUGGAAAAGUUCCAGAGAUUAUAAGGGACAGAAUGUCUUCUAGCUUCGCUUAAUUCCCCUUUGAAGGAGAGACAUGUUUACCAUGGCAGGCACCUUCCACAUGGCACUGGGCCAGCAUUCUUGCUAAAGAUUUACCAGGGGACAAAUGACACCCAUAAAACAUACAGACAUAGGUACUAAAUACUUAUAUUAGUGUGAGUUUCAUCCUGUGAGAAUGUCUUUUUGUUUAUUUGAAAAACAUGAAUAUGAAAAAUGAUGUAAAUAAGAAAGACAGUUGGGCUUUCCAAAUCAAAACCCCUUAGAUAGAAUGCACAUGUCAUAAUACAACAGCUUGUUAGUCCCCCAAUCACAUAAUGUCUGAGUCUUACCAUGCCCAUCUGUGAUAUGGGAUCAUAAUAGUUGUCUGGACAGUGCUUAGUUUUAUGAUGGACUUUCUUGGCAUAAGUUCUAGAUUGUACCUAUUCUACAUGGUUCAGGUAGGGUGUGUUUGAGAUGUCAUUAACACAUUUGUAGGUCUUAGAAAACCACUUUACUAUUCGCUGUUGUGAAUCUCAUCCAAUCAGCUGAAAACCUCAAUACAAAAAUCUGACUUUCCAUAAUCAAAAAGAAUUUUACUAGCAGUUAGCCUAAGGCAGCUCUGCCCAGGUUCUCUCUCCCCCCCCCCAUCUCUGUGUGUAUGUUGCUGUCUCUAUUUGUCUUUCUUUUCUGUUGCUCUAUAUCAUACUCUAGUAUAUGUGUGUUAAUAUGUGUGUACUAUUUAGCAUACACACAUAUAAGCUGCAUAUCUAACAUAGUCAAAUACAUGUACAUUAAAGAAAAUGAAAAA